GGCAAUCUGCCUUCAAGUUCGGGAUAGCUUCUGGAAACGGGAGGUAAUACCGGAUGUGACAGAGAAACGCCUGUUUUUUCAUUUAAAGGUGGGGAUCUUCGGACCUGCCGCUUGAAGAUGAGCCCGCGUCCCAUCAGCUAGUUGGUAAGGUAAUGGCUUACCAAGGCAAAGACGGGUAGGUGGUCUGAGAGGAUGGUCACCCACACUGGGACUGAGACACUGCCCAGACUCCUACGGGAGGCUGCAGUCGAGAAUCAUUCGCAAUGCGCGAAAGCGUGACGAUGCGACGCUGCGUGUAGGAUGACGGCCUUCGGGUUGUAAACUACUGUCAGAAGGGAGUAAUGUGACAUAUAUUAAUACCGUAUGUCAGUGAUAGUACCUUCAGAGGAAGCCACGGCUAACUCUGUGCCAGCAGCCGCGGUAAUACAGAGGUGGCGAGCGUUGUUCGGAUUUACUGGGCGUAAAGGGUGCGUAGGCGGCGUUGUAUGUCGGAUGUGAAAGCCCACGUUUCAUGCGUGGAACUGCAUUCGAAACUGCAAUGCUAGAGUAUGGGAGAGGAAAGUGGAAUUCAUGGUGUAGCGGUGAAAUGCGUAGAUAUCAUGAAGAACACCGGAGGCGAAGGCGACUUUCUGGAACAUUACUGACGCUGAGGCACGAAAGCCAGGGGAGCAAAAAGGAUUAGAUACCCUUGUAGUCCUGGCAGUAAACGGUGCACGCUUGAUGUAGGAGGCUUUAUCCCCUUCUGUGUCGAAGCUAACGUGAUAAGCGUGCCGCCUGGGGAGUACGGUCGCAAGGCUAAAACUCAAAGGAAUUGACGGGGGCCCGCACAAGCGGUGGAGCAUGUGGCUUAAUUCGAUGCAACGCGAAGAACCUUACCCAGGCUUGACAUGUAUCUGCAAGCUCCCGAAAGGGAGUCGCUUUCGAAGGUGAUACACAGGUGCUGCAUGGCUGUCGUCAGCUCGUGCCGUGAGGUGUUGGGUUAAGUCCCGCAACGAGCGCAACCCUUGUGAUCAGUUGCUAAUCCGUAAGGAUGCACUCUGAUCAGACUGCCCGUGACAAGCGGGAGGAAGGUGGGGAUGACGUCAAGUCCGUAUGGCCUUUAUGCCUGGGGCUGCACACGUGCUACAAUGGACAGUACAGAAGGCAGCGAAACCGCGAGGUUGAGCAAAUCCCCAAAACUGUCCUCAGUUCGGAUUGGAGUCUGCAACUCGACUCCAUGAAGCUGGAAUCGCUAGUAAAGGCGUAUCAGCUACGACGCCUUGAAUACGUUCCCGGGCCUUGUACACACCGCCCGUCACAUCACGAAAGCCGAUUGCACCCGAAGCCGCUGCUCUAACCCGUAAGGGAAGAAGGUGUCUAAGGUGUGAUUGGUAAUUGGGAUGAAGUCGGAACAAGGUA
rnacentral:rRNA from 1 species